GCCUCUCAGCUGAUCGGCGGGUGGGCGGGGCUUCCACGGAGGCCUCCGUGUAGGCCGCAGUGAAGCCUGAACUCGAGUAGGGCCCAAGCAAGCCAGGAAGGAGGAGGCAGCCCGAGUGUUCUCUGCAGCAGAAGAUCCCUUGCUGCCCUGCUUAACCCAGACCAGCAUUUGCCAGCUGAAAAAGUGAACUUAGGCCUAUCAAAGCACAGAGAGCAAAUGGGACCAUCUCAUUGCCCUGCCUCUGAAUGGGGAAAAAGAAGAAAUGCAUCUGAGAACAUUGUCUAAGGGCACACAAUACUGUCACCUUGCUGAAGUUCCUUGGAUCCAGCCUGAUACUUCCUAUGGACAGCAGGACUUAAAAAUUCUUUCCUGCCAGAGCACUCCAUGAACUUUCCAUAAAAUGUUCAGGAUCCCUAAUGGAUACAGACAUUCCAGGUGAAGAAGAAACUACUUAAUGGAAGCUACUUUUGCCUUGAAUCAGCAAGCUUGAUACAUUUUUAUUUCACUCUAUUUUAUUGUAUACUUAUUUGGAUGGCAGGAAAAUAAACAUUAUUGGUGUAAUGGA